GCCAGCAGCGGAGCGGAGCGGCACCCCAGUGUCAGUCCCUCCCUCCCGCGCCCCCAAAAACCUCGCCUCCCGAGUCCCCCACUCGCCCCCCGCCGCGCGGCGCCUCCCACCCACACGCGCCCGCCGAUCGCCACCGCACCCGCGCCAGAUCUGACGACCACCUAGGUAGCUACCGCCCGCCGAUCGCUUGCUCCAUCUUCUUCGCCCGCGCUCACGCUAGCUCAUUGCCAGCUACGCGCGCUCGGCCGCUCCAGUCCGCCGCCAAUGCGGGCCGCGGCGCCCGGGGCAUGCUACUAGGGGCCGACGCCGCGGGGGUUGCAGCGCCGGGAUGGAGGCCGUGCUGGGCGGCGGGGACGGCCGGGGCAAGCGGGCCCGGGUGAAGGCCGGGGGCCCGGACCCGGACCCCGAGCCCGAGCCCAAGCGCGGCCGGCCGGCGCCCGCGCCCGCGCCGUGGCCGCCGCACCCGGCCUCGCGGAUCUACCGCGUCUCGCGGGCCUCCGGCGGCAAGGACCGCCACAGCAAGGUCUACACCGCCAAGGGCAUCCGGGACCGCCGCGUCCGCCUCUCCGUCGCCACCGCCAUCCAGUUCUACGACCUGCAGGACCGCCUCGGCUACGACCAGCCCAGCAAGGCCAUCGAGUGGCUCAUCAAGGCCGCCGCCGCCGCCAUCGACAAGCUGCCCUCGCUCGACGCCGCCGCGGGCUUCCCCGCCCACCCGGCCUCCGCCAAGGACCUGCCGGCGGCCCUGCCGGAUGCGCCGCCCGACGACGACCACCACCACCAGCAGCAGCAGCUCACGAGGUCGGGCUGCAGCAGCAUGUCCGAGACCAGCAAGGGCUCCGUCCUCUCGCUCUCCCGCUCCGAGAGCCGGGUCAAGGCCAGGGAGCGCGCCAGGGAGCGGAGCGCCGCCGCCCAGGACAAGGACAAGGAACCCGCCGCCGACGACGCCGCCACGGGGCGCCGCGCCGCGCCCACCGCCUCCGCGCAGGCCGCGUCCUUCACCGAGCUGCUCACGGGGAUGGCCGCCGCCGAGCACAAGCAGCAGCCGCAGCCGCAGUCGUCUGCCCCCUGGCAGGCAACGGCUGUCCCCGCGACCGCUAACUACAUCGGGUUCGCGCAGCCCCGGAAGGCGGCCGGCCACGCGAUGGCGCACUCCUUCGCCUCCCCGGCUCCCCAUCUCGGCAACAUUGCGUCCGUCGCCAUGGCCCCGGCGCAGCACUUCGGCUUGGCGAGCGGCGCCGUAACCAUCGCCUCUGGCGGCGCCGAGCCGCACGCGGAGAUGACGCACUUCUCGUUCUUGCAGGACCACUUCAUGCCCGUCCACGCGGCGCCGGCUUCGGGUCCCGCCGGAGACUACGACCUCAACUUCUCCAUGUCCUCGGGUCUUGUGGGUGUCAACAGUAGGGGGACCCUUCAGUCCAAUUCGCAGCCGCACAUCUCCGGCCACCACCACCACCAGCUCCAGAGGCUGUCUACUCCACUGGACGCUCCCAACAUACCCUUCCUGUUCAGCCCCGCCGCCGCGGUGACCACACCCACCACGGCGGACAACCAGUUCGCCGCGUUCCAGCUCUGGAACGGGUUCCAGCACGCAGACAUGAAGGAGAAGGGCAAGAACUGAACGACAGCUGCCCAAUGCAGCGCAGUGCUUUCCUGAUGGAUUUGAAGUUUGGCUCCAUCUCAUACUCUUUAUUGUAAUAUUGCUUCAUACAGAAGAUAAACGUCAACGUAGUUCAAAUAGGAUGUGAAGACAUCAAAUAAUUGCAACCUAUCCCUGCAAGCACCAAUCAUUGCGUGAAGCGGCCAUAAGUGUGCUGGGGAUGAUUCGCCGCAUUCUUGGAAGCAGAUCGUCCUUCAGACGUCUACCCUGGUCACCACUGAAGAACCUCAUCGUUGUUACUCUGACAACCAUCUGCAUUUCUUUAUCCGCCUGCUGUUGUAUUCAUUUCGUGGAGGGAGAUUUUUUGGAGCAUGACUUGCUGGAGUGCCCUGUCAGAAAGCCAUUGUAAUCCUUUCCAUUCUAGACAUUGCCAAAUGCCAAUGGAUGGAUCCGGCUCUUGAUCGGCUCUUUCGAGUUCCAGGAUCAGUUAUCUCCCCCAAUUUUAUGGUUCUCGGUUGUGUGUUGUGCGAGAAGUGAGAGGACUAAUGAUCAGAUCCAUCAGAUGAAGCAUCUGUGGUGAAGUCAAUUCCCCUGUUGUGUGCUGAAUACGCUGCUCUAACGAGAGUCUGAGAUGUAAAUUUUAUUUUCUUCUCUUGCAGUGAUUAUUUUGUAUUGCUGAUUAA